AAGUCGUAACAAGGUUUCCGUAGGUGAACCUGCGGAAGGAUCAUUACCAAUUUAAUCCAAAACACUUUAACCCGUGUGCACUGUGAUAUUGUUUGUCUUUGGGGUUUUGGAUUCUUGUUUGCCGCCCCACAUUUGUUCAACACAUUUUUAUUUUCGUGGCAUCUUUUUGUCUUAAUACAAAUGGACAACUUUUAACGGUGGAUCUCUUGGCUCGUG
rnacentral:misc_RNA from 1 species